GCCUCCGUGGCACAGUUGGUCGCGUGCCUGUUUACAGCGCGGGGGUUCCGGGCUCGAGUCCUGGACAAGGCA